CGCUUACUGCUGCAUGACCGGAACCUAACAAUUGUUGCUUGUAAGUGAUGGAAUUCAUUCUCCUCCUCACUAGCUGAUUAAACUAUAACUUUCAAAGCGGGGGAUAAUCUCAAGCAUGCAAUUCGCUUCGGAACUCUAUAUUACUUGAGAAUAAGGGCAGAGAAUAAGCAACAGCAAGUCAAAAGAAUUGAUCAUAUCUCCUUGACCACCCGC
rnacentral:lncRNA from 1 species